AUCCUUCGGGAUUAGUGGCAGACGGGUGAGUAACGCGUGGGAAGCUACCUUGUGGUAGGGAACAACAGUUGGAAACGACUGCUAAUACCCUAUGAGCCCUAUGGGGGAAAGAUUUAUCGCCAUGAGAUGUGCCCGCGUUAGAUUAGCUAGUUGGUAAGGUAAUGGCUUACCAAGGCGACGAUCUAUAGCUGGUCUGAGAGGAUGAUCAGCCACACUGGGACUGAGACACGGCCCAGACUCCUACGGGAGGCAGCAGUGGGGAAUAUUGGACAAUGGGGGCAACCCUGAUCCAGCCAUGCCGCGUGAGUGAUGACGGCCUUAGGGUUGUAAAGCUCUUUCAGCAGUGAAGAUAAUGACAUUAACUGCAGAAGAAGCCCCGGCUAACUUCGUGCCAGCAGCCGCGGUAAUACGAAGGGGGCUAGCGUUGUUCGGAAUCACUGGGCGU
rnacentral:rRNA from 1 species